rnacentral:rRNA from 1 species
UUACUGCGAAGGGGGGACGGAGAAGGCUAUGUUGGCCGGGCGACGGUUGUCCCGGUUUAAGCGUGUAGGCUGGUUUUCCAGGCAAAUCCGGAAAAUCAAGGCUGAGGCGUGAUGACGAGGCACUACGGUGCUGAAGCAACAAAUGCCCUGCUUCCAGGAAAAGCCUCUAAGCAUCAGGUAACAUCAAAUCGUACCCCAAACCGACACAGGUGGUCAGGUAGAGAAUACCAAGGCGCUUGAGAGAACUCGGGUGAAGGAACUAGGCAAAAUGGUGCCGUAACUUCGGGAGAAGGCACGCUGAUAUGUAGGUGAAGUCCCUUGCGGAUGGAGCUGAAAUCAGUCGAAGAUACCAGCUGGCUGCAACUGUUUAUUAAAAACACAGCACUGUGCAAACACGAAAGUGGACGUAUACGGUGUGACGCCUGCCCGGUGCCGGAAGGUUAAUUGAUGGGGUCAGCGCAAGCGAAGCUCUUGAUCGAAGCCCCGGUAAACGGCGGCCGUAACUAUAACGGUCCUAAGGUAGCGAAAUUCCUUGUCGGGUAAGUUCCGACCUGCACGAAUGGCGUAAUGAUGGCCAGGCUGUCUCCACCCGAGACUCAGUGAAAUUGAACUCGCUGUGAAGAUGCAGUGUACCCGCGGCAAGACGGAAAGACCCCGUGAACCUUUACUAUAGCUUGACACUGAACAUUGAGCCUUGAUGUGUAGGAUAGGUGGGAGGCUUUGAAGUGUGGACGCCAGUCUGCAUGGAGCCGGCCUUGAAAUACCACCCUUUAAUGUUUGAUGUUCUAACGUGGACCCGUGAUCCGGGUUGCGGACAGUGUCUGGUGGGUAGUUUGACUGGGGCGGUCUCCUCCUAAAGAGUAACGGAGGAGCACGAAGGUUGGCUAAUCCUGGUCGGACNNNNNNNNNNNNNNNNAAUGGCAUAAGCCAGCUUGACUGCGAGCGUGACGGCGCGAGCAGGUGCGAAAGCAGGUCAUAGUGAUCCGGUGGUUCUGAAUGGAAGGGCCAUCGCUCAACGGAUAAAAGGUACUCCGGGGAUAACAGGCUGAUACCGCCCAAGAGUUCAUAUCGACGGCGGUGUUUGGCACCUCGAUGUCGGCUCAUCACAUCCUGGGGCUGAAGUAGGUCCCAAGGGUAUGGCUGUUCGCCAUUUAAAGUGGUACGCGAGCUGGGUUUAGAACGUCGUGAGACAGUUCGGUCCCUAUCUGCCGUGGGCGCUGGAGAACUGAGGGGGGCUGCUCCUAGUACGAGAGGACCGGAGUGGACGCAUCACUGGUGUUCGGGUUGUCAUGCCAAUGGCACUGCCCGGUAGCUAAAUGCGGAAGAGAUAAGUGCUGAAAGCAUCUAAGCACGAAACUUGCCCCGAGAUGAGUUCUCCCUGACCCUUUAAGGGUCCUGAAGGAACGUUGAAGACGACGACGUUGAUAGGCCGGGUGUGUAAGCGCAGCGAUGCGUUGAGCUAACCGGUACUAAUGAACCGUGAGGCUUAACCUU